CGUGCAGGACACUCAAACUCUAUACGAACCCGGACGUGCGUAGGUCGCGUUCAGCUGACUGGUUAUCAGAAGAGCAGCACCAAAAGGCAAACGUAAAGAGAGCAGCAGCGACGGAAGCCGCCUUUGAAAACAAGGAAGAUAAAGCGUCAACAGACAACACACACGCGCGCAGGGAAGAGAAGUAAGUGAGGACAACUUGGAAGGGGUCAAGAAGAGAAGCGAAAGUGAAAAAAAAAGAAAAAGGUCAGCACAGGCUUUUACACACAUACACACGGCGAGGAGUGCAACGACGGCCAACACCGACAUCGCUUGCGUGCGUCUGUCUGACUCCCGGCACUGGUCGUGUUCUGUUUUUCUCUUUUUUUGUACUGUUUCCCCGUCGCGCUGUUCAGCCCUUCUCUCUCAUCUCUUUCUUCGCUUUCGAGUGACUUUGCCCGCCACGACUUACCAACGAUCAGACAAAAAGAAGACACAAAAAAGGGUAUCGGUUUUUUUUUUUCGUCGUCUCCUCCGUCACCUCCAUUCUACCAUCUCACCACAUCACAAAAGGUUUUCCAGUUCAUCCUCCACCCCUUUACAACACACACGCACCUUUCAUCGCCACCUCCAGCCCAUUGGCCGAUUGUACCCCCCCCCCCCUCCCCCUCCAUCCCCGCUUGACUCAGAACACCCUUCCUAACUGCACUUUUUUUCUUACGCGUGCGCUCUCGCUAACUCUCUCUGUCUUGUGGACCCUCUCUCUGCGAAUCCGACGACCACGGAGCCUUUUUUUUUAUCCGGGUUUCUGUCUGCGUUUCUUAUUUUUUUUCCAUUGCAUACCAUACCUUCUCCCUCCUCCCAGUACACCCCUCUGUUUCUUUCGCACUGUUCUGUUCUUCUUCCUUUUGCUGCCAUUGCUGGGUGGUGGUGGUGGUGGUGGUGGGGAGUUGCUGUGGAUAUGGUGCUGCUAACGCCGGUGGCCAAACGGCUCGUAUACUGGUCCUGCCUCUCACUCUCGCUUUGCGUGCCCGUAUGCGUGUGUGCUCUUGCCUGGUCUCUUUUUCGUUUUACGCGGCCUCUUGUCUGACUGAGCUUCCUUGUCAUUUUCCUUCUCGCCCCCCUUUUUGCCCAUUUUUUUUACCACACGUCGACGUCUGCACACCUCUUUGUGUCGGUCGGUCUGCUUGUGUGGGGAUUUUGCGCUAUCUUGCUCUCUCUCUGUCUCUGUCUAGCUCUCCUCGUUACACCGUUGCGCUUGCUGCACCUCUUCAGCCCCUCUCCCCCUUGUUAAGUCUCCUCCCUUCCACAUAUACUUGGGUGCGCUCUCGGAUUCAUUUCUCCACCCGUUCCGUGCGUCAACUCGGCACUCGUUAUCUACUGUCUUCUCUAUUGCUUCUUUAGCCUCUUUCUUCGUUGGUGCCUUUCUUUGUGGUUUUUUGCGCGUGUGCUUCCUCUCCAGCGAGACCGUCGAGGCCACUAGCGUGGCAUCAGCAGGAGAGCGAUCGCCCCCCCUUCUCUCCACCACAGUGGACAGCGUGCGUUGCGUACAGGUGCGAGAGAGGUGAGUGACCCCAGGCAGAUUCAACGCAGUACAACGAGUGCACACGGAGAGCCCUACGUCCAAAAAACAACAACGCUUUUUUAGCAGAGGAACAGCGAGAUAGAAAGCAAGCAAAUCAACGAUUGCCACAAGAUCGAGCUGUCUUUUUUUUUGUUUUAGGUGUUUCACUGUUGUGCUCUGGAGGUCAUUGCCGCUAAAAGAUCGUCGGCGUGCGUCUUGUCCGCACAAGCGCCACCUUCUUCUCUUACUCAUCGUUUUUCGUUUUCCAUCCCCGCCCUCCAUUACCUGUAGGCGUGCGGAGAGUCCUUGUUGCCUCUGCACACGCAUUUCGCACGAAGAUACACACAUUGCUGCAACCGUCGCAUACCCCCCACCCUGCCUAUACUAUCUCGUAUAGUUUCGCGUACAGUACAAGAACAAGUCUUGCAUCAGUCAUCCGCGUACGCCUAGCCACACGCAUGUGAGCGCCAUCAUACGCCCAACGGAGAAGGUCAAACGCCGUUUUUUCACAUCACGAGAAAUCUCUCUCAUUUUUUUUUCACGUGCUCCUUCGUCUCAAUUCGUUUUCCCCCUGCCUCCGUUCUUUUUUUUUUUCAAACUGUCUGUGCCUCUCUCUCUUUCUGUUUCCCUUGCGUCGAUCAUUGAUUAGUGCGGAAGAUCUCCGAUUUGGUGGUUGUUCUCCCGCUCCUCCUCAUCGCUUUUUUUUACGUUACUUGUUGUGGAGUUUUUGUUCGUGCCAGUUUGUGCGUGUGUGUGUGUGUGCAUCUUUUCUUCUGGUGCUUUACUACUUGUUUUUUUUUCCUUUUAUUUUGUCGUGCGGCGGUGAUCCAUCAUCAUCUCUAUUUUUUUUUUCUCGGUGUGCGAUUCUCUUUUCGCUUGCCGUUUUUUAUCUUUUCGGCGUAGAACUCCUUCCCCGUUCUUAUUUCGUUCUUUUUUUUGCGUUUGCUUUAUUGUCUUACUGUCUUUGCUGUAUCUUGGCUUCUGCAUCACCCGCAGCCUUGACCCGCUUUUGUUCUCUUCCCUUCUGUCUUAUGUCCUAUUUUCAUUGUCGCCCAUACGUACCUGUACAACUGUGAGAUCAAGUUUUUGCUGGAUAGGUAGCUCAUUCAACGAUCCCUCUUUGCAUAAAGACAACUCUCUCUCUUGAUCUCUCUAUAUUUUGUGCUUUUAGAUAAACCGUUCGGACUGCUUUUUCGUUUAUGUGGAAGCGGGCGUUUUGUUUCAUGGUGUCUUCUGUUCUUUGUUUUCCACCAUCUCGGAUCAUUUCUCUUUCUCCCGUUUUAUGCUUCUUUUUUUUAGUCUAUCAAGCAAGUGCGCUGCCGGCGGGUCUGAGACUCUCUUCUCUCCUUUCUUUUUUCGCUUUUUUUUUUGUCUCUCGCCGUGUUGGCCAAUUCGCUGAAGUUCGCCUCUUGCCUCUCUCUUUUAUCUUUUUCCCUUCCGCUUUCCCCCGUCCCCAUUCUCUUCUCAUCUUGCUGAGCUGCAGCUCAUUUUAUGCUGUUCCUUACAUAUAUCGCCUCUGCUAAGUGCGCACCUUCUCCCUCUUUUUUAAACGACCCCAACAACAAAAAAAGCACCCUGUCGUCUUGCUCUUCCAUCCCCCGUCUCUUUCUGACUCAUCGCCGUUUUUCAGCGGUGCAUGCGUGUGUUUGUCUACAAAAAAGGGCGAUUUUUAGUUGUUCGCGUGAGCGAGUCAUUGCGCGCACGUGGGGUGCGCGUGCGUGUCUCUGGCUGUUUUCUUUUUUUGUGUCUCUCUGUCGUUUUUUUUUUUUCGUAUUCUUGCUCUUCCCCUCUCUGUGGUGGCUUGGCACCGCUUUCUUGCUAACACUCAACUUUUCACUGGCCUGGUCUCAAUUUCUCUCUGCUUUCCUCUUCCACGUCGUCACUCCGACGCAGCUUUCACCGCGGCGUCCUUUUUCUCUUUGCUCCGCGUGAGGUUCUCUGUUGUUGGAUAUGCGUGAGGGGAGCGAAAACAGAACCCCUCCCCCCCCCCAAGAAAAGACGACUGGCGGCCAGACAUUCCCACCUCACCGACAAGCAACAAGGCCAAAGCAUAUAUUAGGCAGGAAGAGAGGAAAGACAACAGAAAACUAACGGGGCAAGCGCCAGAGUACUGCGUGCGUGCGUUUGGACGCGCCUGCGCCACGACGGCGGCAAGAGGCGACAACGGCCAACAGAGAGAAAUCACCACCCACCAGCAUCCUCACCACCGCCUUCUGGUAGAUCUGUUUUGCUUCUCGCGCUGGUUUUCUUUUUUAUCGCCGCGCUUAUCACCCGCAUCGGUGGAGGGGUGUUCCGGGGCAACUUUGUGUUCUUGUCUGCGUUUCUGUUCUCAUCCCUCUCCACUCGCUCGCUUUGUGGCCCUCCUCUUGCUUCCUUGUGUGUGUGUGUGUGUGUUUCCGCACCCUCCCUUUUGUUUUCAUUCCACAUCGCGUCUGCGGGGAUGCAG
rnacentral:misc_RNA from 1 species